GGAGGAUUGGCCGAGUGGUCGAAGGCGCACGCUUGGAAAGCGUGUAUACAGCAAUGUAUCGUGGGUUCGAAUCCCAUGUCCUCCGCCA
rnacentral:tRNA from 3 species